GGCCGUGUAGCUCAAUGGCAGAGCGUCUGACUACGAUCAUCAUUAUUCAGUAUCCGUAAUCAGAAGGUCGCAGGUUCGACCCCUGUCUCGGUCA
rfam:Metarhizium majus ARSEF 297 Scaffold_99, whole genome shotgun sequence.